rnacentral:lncRNA from 1 species
UUGAGUUCUAGAAGUCGGAUUUGGGCGAGUAAACAGCCCAUGCGAAGAUAAUUUAAUUUUCUAUCAUUCUAGAUGGGUCCAGAUAUCAAAAGCCCGCUGAAACAGCCCAGGAACAGGGGAGAAAGUCAACUGCGAAUUUUGACCUUUUGGAAACCCAUUCAGUUUCGGAAUUGCCUUGUAUAUUCCUAUUAGAAUAAAAACACUUUUG